GCCCGUGGGGCUUUCCUUUGUGCUUGAUCUAACCAUGUGGUGGAACGCUGGAAACAGAACAUGGUUCUGUCAAGCACCGCGGAAAGCUCCAUGCUC
rnacentral:pre_miRNA from 12 species